AACAGCGAUGGGAAGGGGCUCGGGUAUCGCUGCACAAACAGAUUUCUGUUUGCAUAGCUGUUGGGGAACGGCUGUGCCAGGAUGCGCAGAAACAACUAUUUAUGAAUUAUUUACAUUUCUUUAGUUGCUGCUCAUCGUUUGUUAUUCCUCUGUUUAAACAGUUUGUCCUCUGUUCCAGGAGCAGAAGGAAAGCCAAAAUGACUUCAGUGACAGCUCAGAUAUCCCACAGAAUGACUAGUAGGAGCAGAACAGCAGGAGCUGGAAUACGGCGAGGACUUUCCCCUCCAGGGAAAGCCAUCUCCAGUCAUGAAAAGGAGUUGAAGGUAGCAGAUGGCCUACGCACCCAUCAUCAAGGCAGACUUCUGUUGGUGAAGACCAGAGAUUUUGGUCUAAGCAAGUUGGCUGCCUGAGAUGAGAAUACCCUAAGAUGAGGAAGAUGCUGCUGUAAUCAAGGCAACAGGGAACCAGAUACGCAGUGGCCACAGGCUGGGCUACGGACGUCCCUUCCCACUAGUGAAUAUUCAGUCUCUUUGGAAAGAGGUGGUUCUUCUUCUGUGGAGGAAAGUCUCACAACACAGGUCUUUGUCUUUUGAUGGAAUAUGUUCCAAGGAAAGUCUUCCCCAACUCCAGCUGAUUCUGGAGGCUCCCAGAUGCUUCCUUCACUUUGUGCAAUGCAGUGGCCGUGGGAAAUGUGCGCAAGCAGGAAUUUAAAACCAGACACCCAGGAGGGAUGAGAACUUCUCAGCGAUAUGGAAACAACGAACAUGCGGGCUGUAACCAGCAGGCAGGAUUUUGUGGACAUGAUGAGCCUGAGAAAUGGAGAGAAUAUUUCUGCUGCAGGUUCAGGACGGCCCACAGCAGAGGCAGGCACGUGGGGGGAAAGCAGCAGCUUCCCAGAUCUCACCUGGAGAUUGCAGCGCUUGGAAAGCACGGCUCAAAAUAACCCUUCCCUCUUCUGCCAGCAUGCUGUGCCACAGAUGAGGAAAACCCCCAGAAUCAUUUUUGGGUAUUCAUUCCUUGUGUGAAUGCUGAGGUAAGGAGGGGCGGAAGCCCUUUCCUUCAAACCACACGGGAGAAAACCUGCUGCAGUGCCUGUAAGGAAUUUUCAGAAAACUUUUGUGAGUUUCUACUGGAACCACAAGCCUUUUUUAUCCUUCCACAAUUUUUCUGUCUAACUUUUAAAGGCACUUUUACUGAAGAUUUACUGAUAGCAACCUUCUACUGAGUGCAUUUGAUCGCUCCAUAUUUCAGAAACAAUGUAAGAAUGGAAAAAUCUCUCUCUUUAGGCUCCAUUAUCUUACACUCCUGUUGUCGGCACUGAGUUAUAAAGAACCGGUGCUAUGCGUAAAACGCUGAAUGGCUUAACUGCUCAGAACAUAAAAUGAAAGCACUAAACUUAUCAGUUUUGUGUAAAAAACAUGCACUUUUCCCUUACAAUAAACAAAUAGAUAUAUAACAGCAAGCAAAAUAAAGCAGGCAAAUGCCUUGUCUUCUCUCCUUGGUGUGCUGGGCUGCAGUUGCCUGCUGUAAGAAAAUACAUCGCUGGCAUUGACUCUAUGCUCCGUGAUGGGAAUGAGAGUUGCCGUCUAUUCACAGCCUCGGUGGCAAAUUGGGUCAUUUCCAGGGGUAGUACUGUAAGAGAUUUUGUCUCUAAAAUUAGAGCCCCCUCUCCAAAUGCACAGGUCCAGCAUAGCCGUAGAGAGCACCCCAAUUUUGUGUUGUGGUUGUGAUCGUCCUGCCAGCAAUGAAAAUCUGCUGGGCAAGCUGUGUCUGCUUGUGAUAAAAUUGAUAAGAUAAAUGAUUUUUGUAGACAAAGGAAAUG